rnacentral:rRNA from 1 species
UGACCGCAAGGUCAUGGCUCAUCCACUAGGUGCUGCAUGGUUGUCGUCAGCUCGUGUCGUGAGAUGUAAGGUUAAGUCCUUGAACGAGCGCAACCCCUUUCGUCAGUUGCAAACCAGCAAUGGCGCACCCUGACGAUACUGCCAGCUAAAGUUGGAGGAAGGAGGGGAUGACGUCAAAUCCUCGUGGCCUUUAUGUCCAGGGCUACACACAUGCGACAAUGGUCGGUACAACGGGUUGCAACACCGCGAGGUGAAGCCAAAUCCCUAAAAACCGACCUCAGUUCAGAUUGCAGACUGCAAUUCGUCUACAUGAAGAUGGAGUUGCUAGUAACCGCGGGUCAGCUACACCGCGGUGAAUAUGUUCCCGGGCCUU